ACUGGCUCAGGAUGAACGCUAGCUACAGGCUUAACACAUGCAAGUCAGGGGCAGCAUUGGGAUAGCUUGCUAUCCAGAUGGCGACCGGCGCACGGGUGAGUAACGCGUAUCCAACCUUCCCUAUAGUAGAGAAUAGCCCGGCGAAAGUCGGAUUAAUGCUCUAUGUUGUGUUUUGAGGACAUCUGACGAACACCAAAGGUUCACCGCUAUAGGAUGGGGAUGCGUCUGAUUAGCUUGUUGGCGGGGUAACGGCCCACCAAGGCGACGAUCAGUAGGGGUUCUGAGAGGAAGGUCCCCCACAUUGGUACUGAGACACGGACCAAACUCCUACGGGAGGCAGCAGUGAGGAAUAUUGGUCAAUGGGCGAGAGCCUGAACCAGCCAAGUAGCGUGCAGGAACCGACUGCCCUAUGGGUUGUAAACUGCUUUUAUCAGGGAAUAAAGUGCGGCACGUGUGCCGUUUUGUAUGUACCUGAUGAAUAAGGACCGGCUAAUUCCGUGCCAGCAGCAGC
rnacentral:rRNA from 1 species